UACGGAAGGUGCGAGCGUUAAUCGGAAUUACUGGGCGUAAAGCGCGCGUAGGCGGCUUGGUAAGUCGGAUGUGAAAGCCCCGGGCUCAACCUGGGAACGGCAUUCGAUACUGCUGAGCUGGAGUACGAGAGAGGGGGGUGGAAUUCCAGGUGUAGCGGUGAAAUGCGUAGAGAUCUGGAGGAACACCAGUGGCGAAGGCGGCUCCCUGGCUCGAUACUGACGCUGAGGUGCGAAAGCGUGGGGAGCAAACAGG
rnacentral:rRNA from 1 species